GUUGUGAAGGUGUUUGUUGGGGAUGUUGUAGAGAGGUUUGGGAGGGUUGUGAAGGUGUUUGUUGGGGAUGUUGUAGAGAGGUUUGGGAGGGUUGUGAAGGUGUUUGUUGGGGAUGUUGUAGAGAGGUUUGGGAGGGUUGUGAAGGUGUUUGUUGGGGAUGUUGUAGAGAGGUUUGGGAGGGUUGUGAAGGUGUUUGUUGGGGAUGUUGUAGAGAGGUUUGGGAGGGUUGUGAAGGUGUUUGUUGGGGAUGUUGUAGAGAGGUUUGGGAGGGUUGUGAAGGUGUUUGUUGGGGAUGUUGUAGAGAGGUUUGGGAGGGUUGUGAAGGUG